UACAGGAUUUUAGUUGCAAAAAUGGUUAGGUGACUUAACUCGUGAAGAGAGGCAGAGAGCGCGUAAUCUGAGCGCGUGCUGAUUUCCCUCGAAAUUCAAACCUCAGUCACAUUGAGUACUCUGUCUGAAUUCCGAAAUCCCUAAAACCCCUUUUUCCUCCCUCGCAAACCAAACACUCCAACAAUACGACGUAGUACAGAUCGAUCGAUGAGGAACAUUAUAUCGAUGUGGGAAAAUGGACGGCCGUCGGAAAAUGGAUCCGACAACGGCAAGGAUAAUGACGAUAACAAUAAGGAGAAGACGAUAGCAAAGGCAGCAGGGUUCGUGGUUUUCUCGGGAAUCGCAAUGAGCAUUCUCAAAGCCGUCAAUCCUUUCAAUAAUCCAAACCUCAAUAGUCAAAGCAGUGAGGUAAAGGCAACAGUUUUUGAGUUAGCUCAACUUCAAACUCAGCCUCAAGUGCUUCAACAAUGCCAGCCAGAGCCUGAGCCCAUUGUCAAGAAACCGAAUUGUUGUGCGGAGAAAAGAGCGAAGGAAGCUUCACAAAAUGUAAUAGAGAUUGAGCGGGGAGACACUCUUUGGGGGCUCUCUAGACAAUAUGGGGUCUCAAUUGAGGCAAUUAAGGAGGCUAACGGGCUUGAAGGGGACACCAUCUAUGCUGGCAAGAAACUUCAUAGAAACCUGUCAACAUGUGAAUAUUAGCAUUGAAACUAGAGAAACAAUGAAAACCUACAAUGGACUAUGAAGCAAGGGAUACGUAUCCACUUCACCUCCCACUCUGUAAUGGUGGAAGCUCAUAAAUCUCUCAUCAUGGAGUGUGAGAUCAAUCUUGUCCAUCAGGUCUUCCCACAUGCAUGUGCUCUUCUUCCACCAUACUGUAGGCUUCUUUCUAUUUUUGGUGCAAGUAUGGCGCAUUUCUUAUGCUUGAGCUCCGUGUCACUGCUCAAAGAAUGCAGAACUCUAAGGCAGCAGCGAAGAAGCAGAAGGUUCAACUUAGGGGAUGCAGUGCCUUGUGCUGCAGUUGUAGGCUGAGUGUUUCGUCGUCUUCAGAAGAAGCUGAAAGUUCCAAUUCUGAUAGAUAUCCAACCAUUUCAAGCCUAACACAUGCCAUGGUGCAAGAAAGGUUAGAUAAGAUGAUUAGAGAAAGAGAAGAGGCUAAAAAUGAAGAGAGGAGGAAGGCGCGAGAUGAAAAGACCAAGUUUAUAGUGAUGAUAGCAAUGGAGAAAUCUUCUUACGAUCCAAGAGAGGAUUUUAGGGAGUCCAUUGAGCAGAUGAUAAUAGCAAAUAGGAUUCAUGAUACGAAGGAUUUAAGGCGACUUUUGAAUUAUUAUGUUUCUAUGAAUGCAGAGGAAUAUCGUGCUAUUAUAUUCGAGGUGUUCCAUCAAGUUUGCACCAAUUUCUUUUUAUCAUGUAAACACCAUUCAUAUCGUCAAGUAUAAAACUUCGGUUUUCCUUCAAUUC